rnacentral:rRNA from 1 species
GACUAGCCGGUACUCGCCGAAUGCAUCUAGAUUNUUAGUUUGAUCAUGGCUCAGGACGAACGCUGGCGGCGUGCCUAAUACAUGCAAGUCGAGCGAACAGAGGAGGAGCUUGCUCCUUUGACGUUAGCGGCGGACGGGUGAGUAACACGUGGGCAACCUACCUUAUAGUUUGGGAUAACUCCGGGAAACCGGGGCUAAUACCGAAUAAUCUAUUUUACUUCAUGGUGAAAUACUGAAAGACGGUUUCGGCUGUCGCUAUAAGAUGGGCCCGCGGCGCAUUAGCUAGUUGGUGAGGUAACGGCUCACCAAGGCGACGAUGCGUAGCCGACCUGAGAGGGUGAUCGGCCACACUGGGACUGAGACACGGCCCAGACUCCUACGGGAGGCAGCAGUAGGGAAUCUUCCACAAUGGGCGAAAGCCUGAUGGAGCAACGCCGCGUGAGUGAAGAAGGUUUUCGGAUCGUAAAACUCUGUUGUAAGUGGAAGAACAAGUACAGUAGUAACUGGCUGUACCUUGCACGGUACCUUAUUAGAAAGCCACGGCUAACUACGUGCCAGCAGCCGCGGUAAUACGUAGGUGGCAAGCGUUGUCCGGAAUUAUUGGGCGUAAGCGCGCGCUCGGGCGGGUUCCUUUUCAGUUCUUGCAUGUGAGAAGCCCCACUCGGGGCUCNAACCCGUUGGAGCGGUCACUUGGAACACUUG